CAACCAUUGCACAUUUGUUACGUUAGAAAUGAGUAGUCGGUUCAUUGGAAUUUUUAGAGGAAGGAUAAUAAACCAUAAAAUGUGAUGCAAGUAUAGAGAACACAUAUUAAGUAAUGCAUGUUUAACAUGUUUAUUUAAAUUACAAUGAUGCUUUACAAAAUCGAACUGACAAAAAAACCAACACAAAAGUAGAAACAAUAACAGGACACCGUACAUACAUUUCCAUAAAUAACACACACAACAAUUUGUUAGAGCCUUUGGUCUGACACAUGCCAGGUGAAAACAAACAUUUACAGCAGAGAAAACCCCUGUGCACCAUUAAAGCCCUAUUGCAAUUCUGCAGCACAGAACGCGCGCAUGCGCACACACACACACACACACACACACACACACACACACACACACACACACACACACACACACACACACACACACACACACACACACACACACACACACACACACACACACACACACACACACACACACACACACACACACACAGCAUUGCCUUCUCACAACUAUGGAAGGAUGUUUUGCAUGGUUUCGGGACAUGGGUCCCAGCAUCAACUUAACUGCUGUUCCUCGCUUUGAACAAUGCUUAAACAUUUUGCAUAAGAUAAAGAACAUUGAAUGAAAGGCAAAACGUAACGACUAAAUACCAGGCACUGUAGAGUGAGGCACUAAAUAGAACCUUCAACACGACUGGUUUGGCCAUGAUGACAUUUCACACACAUGAGGGUGGAGUCGGGACCGUGUACUGAACUGAGCGUUCUCGUCUUGGCGGGUGGGUGUCUUGUCCUCCUCGUCCACUCAGUUUUCAUGACAUCCAUUUUACGUUUUUGACAUCAGAACCCAAAUGAAACAGGAAGAGAUGUCUGUGAAUCGGAUGAUGUAUGAAGCUACCGAGCACCUCCUUUAAUCCCAUGAACUGAAACUUAUCAGUGGGCUUCUAGUUUGUGUGUCUUCAUAGCAACGAAAACCGAGCUGUCCAUGUGAAUUCGUUUGAGGAGCUUCGUUCUUGCACACCAAGGAAGAAAUGGAGCACAGCUCAGAAAUGCUCUUCCUCCUUCCGGACUCCUGAAGUCUGUUAUUCCACUGGGCACUUCUCAAAAACAGUUCAACAGUAGUUUGAUAGUCUCCUUGCAG